rnacentral:ncRNA from 3 species
UCCUUCGAUGUCGGCUCUUCC